UCCCACCUCAGCCUCCCAAGUAGCUGGGACUGCAGGCUACAGGGCAAGGCUUAACCACUGCUGACCUAAGUCUUGGAGGGAUACCCCAUGGUCACCCAGAUCAUGAGAAGUCAGGCCACCACCACUGAGCCAUGUGGUUAUCCCAUCCAGCCUGCCACCACUGGACUGUAUGUACCGCAGUUCUCCUAUCCAGCCCACCACCACUGGACUCUCUCUCCUGUAUGUAAGCCCCAAAUAAAACCUCAUGUCUCA
rnacentral:lncRNA from 1 species